UACGUAGGGCGCAAGCGUUGUCCGGAAUUAUUGGGCGUAAAGCGCACGUAGGCGGCUUUGUAAGUCGGAUGUGAAAUCCCUCGGCUUAACCAAGGAAGUGCAUCCGAAACUACAGAGCUUGAGUACUUAAGAGGAUCGCGGAAUUCCCGGUGUAGAGGUGAAAUUCGUAGAUAUCGGGAGGAACACCAGUGGCGAAGGCGGCGAUCUGGGAAGAUACUGACGCUGAGGUGCGAAAGCGUGGGGAGCAAACAGG
rnacentral:rRNA from 1 species